AGAGCAGAGUGAGCUGCGGUCAUGAUUGAAGGCAGGGAUGCUAGCAGCAAGGACCCCAAAGAAUUAUCAGCAUUGGGGCCCAAACUUCCCCCCAGGCUGGGGGAAACUGCCGGGCGCGGUGGCGGGCGCCUGUAGUCCCAGCUACUCGGGAGGCUGAGGCAGGAGAAUGGCGUGAACCCAGGAGGCAAAGCUUGCAGAGAGCGGAGAUUGCGCCACUGCACUCCAACCUGGGCGACAGAGCAAGAUUCCGUCUCGGAAAAAAAAAAAAAAAACAAAAA
rnacentral:lncRNA from 1 species